GACGACGCUGGCGGCGUGGAUUAGGCAUGCAAGUCGAACGGUAUCAUCCUUUCGGGGGUGAGAGAGUGGCGAACUGGUGAGUAACACGUAGGUUAUCUACCUCAAGACGGGGACAACCCAGGGAAACUUGGGCUAAUACCGGAUGUGAGCAACUUUUAGUUGUUUGAAAGGUGGCGUAAGCUGUCGCUUGGGGAUGAGCCUGCGUCCUAUUAGUUAGUUGGUGAGGUAACGGCUCACCUAGGCAAUGAUAGGUAGGCGGCCUUAACGGGUGGUCGCCCACACUGGGAUUGAGAUACGGCCCAGACUCCUACGGGAGGCAGCAGUCGAGAAUAGUCUACAAUGGUCGGAAGACUGAUAGUGCGACGCCGCGUGAACGAUGAAUCCCUUCGGGGUGUAAAGUUCUUUUAUAUGUGAGCAGUGCUUCUUAUAUUAACAGUAUGGGGAGAGAGAUAUUAGCAUAUGAAUAAGCAACGGCCUAACUCCGUG
rnacentral:rRNA from 1 species